GUAAAAAAAGGAGUAAUAACUUCACGGCCGAUGAAACUCUGUUUCUUAUUGAGGAAGUUGAGAAAUAUUUCGAUAAUAUAAAAUCUAAACAAACAAAUCAAGUCACUAAUACAAAGAAGACACAGGCUUGGAAAGAAAUAACUAAUGCUAUAAAUUCAAGGGGAGGAUCCACAAGAACUGUGGAUCAAAUUAAAGAAAGGUACAGGAAGGUGUGUACUAAGGCCAAGGCAGAUAUUAUCUUAAUCAAGAAGGACCGCGCUAAGACCGGCGGUGGUCCACCACAGCCCUCACUGAAUCUCGUGUCACAGAAAGUUGUGGACUUGCACACAGAUUCGCCCAAUUUCUUUGGAAUAACCGGAGGGGUCGAGGUUGGAUUACAUCUACCAGAGGUACUACCAUACUCAGCUGAAUGUGGGAAUUCCAUAAUUGUUAACCAAGAACAAAAGAAGGCAUGUGCAGAUGAUCUUUUUAUGACAGAGGCAGCAAACGAU